AUCCAGCUGACAAGUCCCAAAUAGGACUAAAUGAGCAUCCUGGAU
rfam:Trichobilharzia regenti genome assembly, scaffold: TRE_scaffold0052958